GUCUACUGCCAUGCUAUCCUGAACGAGUCUGAUCCUGUCUGAUCUCGGAAGCUAAGCAGGGUCAGGCCUGGUUGGUACUUGGAUGGGAGACCACCUAGGAAGACCAGGUGCUGUAAGUG
rnacentral:rRNA from 1 species